GUCUAUGGCCAUGCCACCUUGAACGUGCCCGAUCUCGGAAGCUAAGCAGGAUCGGGCUUGGUUAGUAUUUGGAUGGGAGACCGCCUGGGAAUACCGGGUGCAGUAGGCU
ensembl:rRNA 5S_rRNA 5S ribosomal RNA